rnacentral:rRNA from 1 species
UACGAAGGGUGCAAACGUUGCUCGGAAUUAUUGGGCGUAAAGCGCACGUAGGCGGCUCUAUAAGUCGGAUGUGAAAUCCCUCGGCUCAACCAAGGAAGUGCAUUCGAAACUGUAGAGCUUGAGUAGUUAAGAGGAUCGCGGAAUUCCCGGUGUAGAGGUGAAAUUCGUAGAUAUUGGGAAGAACACCGGUGGCGAAGGCGGCUCACUGGCUCAUUUCUGACGCUCAGGCGCGACAGCGUGGGGAUCAAACAGG